ACACAUUUCUCAGAGGGGCUGAAGGUUAAGAGCUAAAUUAAACUUUUCUUUUUUUCUUCUUGUUGUGGUAACAGUGGGGAGGAAAGGCAAUGCCAACAACUGGAUCAGAAUCAACAGCAGCAUCUGUUACUGAGCUAGCCAGAAGCUUCCCUACGUUUUUAUUUUCAUUCAAAAAGAGCUUCUCAAUUCUCUCUCCAUCUCACUGUGGAGGAGUGAGUAAGCAGCUGUAUGGAGCUGAGCUGUCUGCUGAGGUUAAACCCUGACAGGCUGCUGUGAUAUCUGCAGUACAGAGGUGAAAACCAGCAGUGAAUGUACAGCCUGUUCCAUUGAUGACAGUCAACAUCAUACUGGGCCACUUUUGCAAGGAUGUUGUACAGCCGUUACAUCAGGGAUAGUGCAAUACCCUUCAGUCUGUGACUUAUGAGGCUGAAAAACUGCAAUGUGAUAGGAAAGUGGUAUCCCAUAUUUGAUGUCUUUGUGUAAGACACAUGUUGACAAACUAGAGGAUGUGAUGAAAUUACUAAAGGAGCUGAGUCUGAAGAACAAAAGGAUAAAGGGGGGGAUUGACUUGUAGGUGUCAUUACACAAAUCAGGGCCAUAAGACAAGAGUUUCUCCUGUGAAGUAUCUAGAAGGAUAAGAAAAUAACUAAAUAAAUGAAAUUGUGUUUGAGAAGAAAAUUCUUGACAGUGAAAGAAGAUGAGCAUUGGAGGCGGUUGCCCAGAAGGACUGUGAGAUCUCCACCCUCUGAUAUUUUCAUAACUCAUCUAGACAAGACAUGAGCAAUCUGACCUGUCUUUGAAAUGAACUGUGCUUUUAACAAGAGGUUGGAUUAAACAAUCUUCAGAUAUACCUUGCUAUUUUAAUUUGUCAAUAAUUCCUUAAGUCUAAACAAAAUUUAUCGCAUUGCAAAGUUAUGAUCUUCCAUUCAUAGGAAUUAUAGACAUCUUAUUUUCCUAGAUGCUUCCUGUAGAAGAAUGCUUUCAGUUGCUCUUAAUUUUGCCAAUGUUAAACCAUUUAAACUUAAAUUUCCAUCCUGGACAUUUGCCUAGUAAUAUAGCAGUGCCUGCACUUUUCUUAAAUGAAAUUUGAGGAAAAGAUCUUGCUCUGCAUAUUUGAAGAACUGUCAUGCUGGUUGGCUUUUUACAUUUGCCAUUCUUAUGUUUUAGUAGAAUUUUUUAAAAUUUGUUUAAUAGCUGAAAAAUUGAUUGAUUAAAAUAAAAAAUAGUCUCAUUAAUUAAUAGGGAUUUCUGUAUAUAAAAUGGAGAUAUGUGGGCUUGUGUGCUUGAAAAUAUCAGGGGAAAAAAAAAAGACCAGAGAGGAAUAUUAACAGAGGGGGAAAUGGUAUAGUUUAGUAGAGAGAGAAAUUGAUUGUGAAAGAGGAAGGUCAGGUACAGCAAAGAAGAAGAAGCACAGGUACCAAAAUAGGCAAUGGCAGGAGAUAGUAAAUAUAUAGUAAAACCCAGGAAGUGAAUGGACAAAGCAUGGGAUUGUUGGACUGGCAAGAGAGAAAAAAACCAGGAACAGACACUGAGCAUGGAAAGAUAAUGCCAUAAAAAAGUCAAAUGACAAUAAGGAGUGUAGAAGUCUUUCACAUCAGACAAACUUCUCUCCAAAGUUUUAGUUGAAAACUGUUCUUCCUGAAUGUAAUAUUCCCUUUUAAUUAAAAAAUAUAUCUAUCAUAGUGUCUCACAACUCCAAAUGUCUCAAUUCUUCUGUAAAGCUAGGCUAAUGGAGAAGGUAAGAGCCACCUUAGCGCUAUAUUUCACUCAAUUAAUUCAUAUGAUAAGCAAACUGAAAUUCUUGUAAAGAUCCUGAGUCUGACAAUUACUUCAGGGGGUGACUAUUAUUUUUCUGUGCUAUGACAUUUUUCUCUUUGGUGCAUAAAAUGAUACAUUGGUGAGUAUUAGAGUUGCAAAGCAAUCAAAAAGUUAGGAAAAACAGAAAUAAAUGUUGCCUAUCUUACAGCAAAAAAAAAAAAGCUUCUAAUGGUAUUAUUAUGACAUAUUACAUGAUGUUUAUCUGCCUGGGGGCUGAAUUAUAUUUGCAGGUGUAACCUUUAUUCUCACAUUUUGUAGUCACCUUAAUGAUUAAUUUUUCAACUUUCGUAUUCUUUUAACUACAUACUUAUAUGGACAUAUCCUUAGCAUGCAAAUAUAAAAACCAUAAUUAAUUCAGCUUUAGGCUAUUUCACAUUUCCCAUUACAAUUAUUCAUCAGUACACCGAGUUUUUGAGGUUUAAAAUAUUAUAGUAAUCAGGAAUAGUAAUAUUAGCACAUCCUGAAUGUAGAGAAAAAGUUAUAC